rnacentral:lncRNA from 1 species
UUGGCAGCGGAUGUAUUAUAAAAUGGUAGUGGGGUUGUGAUAGUUUUCAUUAUUUGCUUUGAGAGUAACAAAGGAGUAGUGGGGUUUGCGGUUUAGGAAUAUUUCGAAUUAGUUUUAGAGUUGAGAGUAGGAUUAAUAUAUUUAUAAUGGUACGUGAUUAUACGCCUCUUGAAGAUCAUGUUAUCAAUUAUAUGGGGCAUCCUAAUGAUGUAAG